rnacentral:rRNA from 1 species
GUUGAUCCUGCCGGANGCGACCGCUAUUGGAGUUCGAUUANNACAUGCGAGUCUGAGCAUUAGCUCGGCGUACCGCUCAGUAACACGUGGGUAACCUGCCCUACUGUUCGGAAUAACCUCGGGAAACUGAGAACAAUGCCGAAUAGUCCACCACGCCUGGAACGGUGGGUGGAUGAAGGUAGGAUGGGCCUGCGGCGUAUCAGGUUGUAGGGGGUGUAAUGGACCUCCUAGCCAUCGACGCGUACGGGUGUUGGGAGACAUAGCCCGGAGAUGGAUUCUGAGACACGAAUCCAGGCCCUACGGGGCGCAGCAGUUACGAAAACUUGGCAAUGCGGGAAACCGUGACCAGGGAACUCCAAGUGAGUCUCUUUUAGGGGCUCUUUUCAUGACUCUAAAACGGUCUUGGAAUAAGGGGUGGGUAAGGACGGUGCCAGCCGCCGCGGUAAUACCGGCGCCUCAAGUGGUCGUCNCUUUUAUUGGGCCUAAAACGUCCGUAGCCGGUUUG